CUCGUAGGUGGUUUGUCGCGUUGUUCGUGAAAACUCACAGCUUAACUGUGGGCGUGCGGGCGAUACGGGCAGACUAGAGUACUGCAGGGGAGACUGGAAUUCCUGGUGUAGCGGUGGAAUGCGCAGAUAUCAGGAGGAACACCGGUGGCGAAGGCGGGUCUCUGGGCAGUAACUGACGCUGAGGAGCGAAGGCGUGGGGAGCGAACA
rnacentral:rRNA from 1 species